rnacentral:tRNA from 1 species
GCGGGCGUGGCGGAAUGGUAGACGCGACAGACUCAAAAUCUGUUUUCGCAAGGAGUGCCGGUUCGAGUCCGGCCGCCCGUACCA